GGGAGCGGCAGACGGGUGAGUAACGCGUGGGAAUCUACCCAUCACUACGGAACAACUCCGGGAAACUGGAGCUAAUACCGUAUACGUCCUUCGGGAGAAAGAUUUAUCGGUGAUGGAUGAGCCCGCGUUGGAUUAGCUAGUUGGCGGGGUAAUGGCCUACCAAGGCGACGAUCCAUAGCUGGUCUGAGAGGAUGAUCAGCCACACUGGGACUGAGACACGGCCCAGACUCCUACGGGAGGCAGCAGGC
rnacentral:rRNA from 1 species